AGCUGGUGCCUUUCAGGCAUCCUCUCCCAAAACUUUCAAAGCCGGCCCUUGUGGUCGGCUUUCCUUUUUGCAGGAG
rnacentral:sRNA from 1 species